rnacentral:rRNA from 1 species
GACGAACGCUGGCGGCGUGCUUAACACAUGCAAGUCGAACGGAAAGGCCCUGCUUUUGUUGUGUGCUCGAGUGGCGCACGUGUGAGUCACACGUGAGUAACCUGCCCUUUACUUUGGGAUAACUUCAGGAAACUGGGGCUAAUACCGGAUAGGCGCUCCUGCUGCAUGGUGGGGGUUGGAUAGUUUCGGCGGGUGGGGAUGGACUCGCGGCUUAUCAGCUUGGUGGUGGGGUAGUGGCUUACCAAGGCUUUGACGGGUAGCCGGCCUGAGAGGGUGACCGGCAACAGGGGGACUGAGAUACGGCGAAGACUCCUACGGGAAGCAGCAGUGGGGAAUAUUGCACAAUGGGCGGAAGCCUGAUGCAGCGACGACGCGUGCGGGAUGACGGACUGCGGGUGGUAAACCGCUAGCGACUGUGACGAAGCGGGAGUGACGGUAAUGGGAAAAGAAGCACCGGCUAACUACGUG